UACGUAGGGGGGCAAGCGUUGUCCGGAAUCAUUGGGCGUAAAAGCGCGUGUAGGCGGCUCGGUAAGUCCGCUCUGAAAGUCCAAGGCUCAACCUUGGGAUGCGGGGUGGAUACUGCCGGGCUCGAGUCCGGAAGAGGCGAGUGGAAUUCCUGGUGUAGCGGUGAAAUGCGCAGAUAUCAGGAGGAACACCAAUGGCGAAGGCAGCUCGCUGGGCCAUUCCUGACGCUGAGACGCGAAAGCUAGGGGAGCGAACAGG
rnacentral:rRNA from 1 species